UACGUAGGGUGCGAGCGUUAUUCGGAAUUAUUGGGCGUAAAGGGCGCGUAGGCGGCCUGACAAGUGGAAGGUGAAAUCCCUCGGCUUAACCGAGGAACUGCCCUCCAAACUGUCUGGCUUGAGACCGGGAGAGGUGAGUGGAAUUCCCAGUGUAGCGGUGAAAUGCGUAGAUAUUGGGAGGAACACCAGUGGCGAAGGCGGCUCACUGGACCGGUACUGACGCUGAUGCGCGAAAGCGUGGGGAGCAAACGGG
rnacentral:rRNA from 1 species